rnacentral:lncRNA from 1 species
AAGAGUAAAGUACUUCCGCUUCCUUAGGUGGAGCUGGAAAGGUGGAGGCGGAAGUGACUGAUCAAUUCAGGGGCGUGGGGUUCGUUUAGGUCUUUUCCUAGUUUUGCCCUGUGUAUGACCUCGUUUGGAGCCAUGAAACCAGGUCUGUGAAAUUUAGUGUCUAUUUUCUACCAUAACACAUGUUAAUUUGGACUAACCACAUUUCGAGUGCUCAGUAGCCACAUGUGGCUAGCGACUACUAUCUUGAGCAAUGCAACGAUAAGUCUGCACUUACGUUCAAAAAGACUUAAAGCAGGGAUCGACAACCCCCAGGCCACAGACUGGUAUGGAUCCAUGGCCUGUUAAGAACUGUGCCACACAGCAGGAGGUCACCAUGUGUGAUGACUACAUCCAAAGAGAGUGAGUGGCUUGAGACAUUGGUAGUAUGUGUAUCUGAUCAUAUCAAUAUGUUAAAAUGACGUUCAAAGUAUGAUCUACCUCAGAAUAAUCUAGCCUCAAGCUUUAUUCUAGGAAGGUAAUUCUGAAGAUACCUAUCUUCUUGAGAGUGAAAUUUUAUGGAAUCCUAGAUUUCUCAUACCUAGGAAUAACAAUACAAGGGACAGAAUAGUUAGCAGUGUUCCUGUUGAAAGGUCCAAGUAUCUCCCUAGGCACAGAAAACACCCAAAUGAGCAAAGCAGACCUUGGUGGCCAGAGGGGAGCCCUCAGGUAGAGCUGCAGAUGCUGGCAGUUUGUGUUAGAAGGUUCCGGGGCUAAACAGAUGCCUAGAAUUAGCCACCAAAAGGUAAAUUGUAGACUCCACUCUUCAAGAAGCAGCAGAAGGAUUAGGAAUUCAAACAGUGCUAUUUUACGGUCAUAAGAACAGACAGUAUUUUUUUGGCGCAGCAAGAACUUCUUAGGCCAUAAAGCAUGACAGACCUCUUUUCCUUAUGCGCUGAAUUGAAGAAGUGCUGACUCUUUUGCUGAUGGAAGCUCUUCCACGAGUUCACGAAUGGAAAUAACAUCAAGAGUUUUUCAUCUUCUUAGUGUGCAAGAACACAGCAUAGUAUGUGACAUAAAGGCUUGAUGACUGUGUUGAAUGAAUGUAUGUUAUGUCUGAGGAAUAGUCUUAGUGGAUUAUCCCAAACUUGACACAUUUUUUGCAAAAUGCUAUACAAAAAGAAGAUACAUGCGAUUAUGACAAGAUUCUCCACUUGGUGUGACCAGUCUCAUACAACCCAAGGCUGUGUGUCCAAAGGCAACUGUACUGAAUACCGGAAAGCAUGUAUUUGUUUGCUAAAUUGCUCUCUUUCCACCAGUGAUAUCAAUUCUGAAAUACUUUUGAGAUCUUGACAAUAAUCAAAAGGUAGCCAGGUGCAUCGGGGAAAGCACUGACAUUGGAGUCAGACAGACUGAAGUUCAUAUCUGAUUCUGCUAUAUGACAACGUGUGGGCUAUGUGGCUAACUUCUCAGAGCUUCAGUUUUCUCAAGGGCAAAAUGAAAAUAAUAGAAAUAAUAGAAUCCACCUCACAGGGCUGUGGUGAGAAUUGGAGAUGAAGCACAUACAGCAUAUUACAUCAACUAAACACAUGCUAAGCACAUGACAGAAUUGCUCUGUUGAAGUUUUGCAAGGUCAAAUGACUCACUUUGUCUAAUGGAACGGGAACGAACAAUUUUUUUGUGUCACGUUUGAACAGAUACCUUUGAGAAGUUUAUGAUUCUCCAAGUUCUCUUUCUCCUACUGUGGCACCUACUGACAAGAUAAAUGUGUAGAGGUUCCUGAGUCUAGGGGUGAGUCUUGCAUAUCUGAUGAAUCCACCAGUAAAAGUACCACUGCUGAAAUCACGCAAAUAUAUUUUUUUAGACCUUAUCAACCUUGGCAUGGAAUUAGAUGAGCAAAAAGCUGAGUUGAAUUGAUGAAAAGAAUCCCAAGUCAUUAAUUACUAAUGAUGGAGCUUGUAAAGUACAGCAUCACUGGGGAAAGCAACUGACUUUCCUCAUACACAUUAUAUUUUUAUCUGAAUUUCAAUACUGCUUAAAUAUGUACUUCAUUACAGGGCACAACUAAAAUAGAAGGGCACCUGCUAAGUCAGAGCCAUAAAACAGAUCUACAGCCUGCUGGCAUGUGAAAUUUCUCUAAUUUAUAUUUUUUAUGAAACUACCCUCACAUUAUGUGGUUGGCAGCAUAAAUAAUAAAGCAUGUUACUGAAGCAAUUUUACAUUUACUGUAUUAGUAAGUAAAUGCAAUGGCCACUCUUAUUCUCAAAUAAAAACUACCCAGCCUUUUCAUGAAAGAUGUUUGCAAUUUCCAUUGGCCUGUAUAUGCAAUAAAAAGCCAUAACUCAUCAAAA